UGGCUUAGAGGGUAAAGUAUCUGCCUGCAAUGCAGGAGACCCGGGUUCGAUCCCUGG
rnacentral:tRNA from 1 species